AUACAUGGGAGAUCACUCUCUCACUCCCCCUCAGCCCACUCUCUCUCACCCUCACACUCUCUUGCUCUCUCUCUCUAGAAGAGAAGAAGAAAAAGAAGGGGAAGAAGAAAAGAGAAGGAAAAGAAGGAAGAAAAGGAAGGAGAAGAAGAAGGAGAUCAACAAGAGGAAGCUUUUGGACCUCUCCUUCAUCCUCUCUUCUCUUCUUGAAACUACAACAAGAGGUAGGCUUCUAACCCUAGCUAUGAAACUUAGGGUUUUUGGGUUUUAGCUCUUUGGAUGGGA
rnacentral:lncRNA from 1 species